rnacentral:rRNA from 1 species
AUACGUAGGGGGCAAGCGUUGUCCGGAUUUAUUGGGCGUAAAGAGCGUGUAGGCGGCCAGGUAGGUCGGCUGUGAAAACUCGAGGCUCAACCUCGAGAUGUCGGCCGAAACCAUCUGGCUAGAGUCCGGAAGAGGAGAGUGGAAUUCCUGGUGUAGCGGUGAAAUGCGCAGAUAUCAGGAAGAACACCUAUGGCGAAGGCAGCUCUCUGGGACGGUACUGACGCUGAGACGCGAAAGCGUGGGGAGCGAACAGGA